rnacentral:rRNA from 1 species
UACAGAGGUGGCAAGCGUUGUUCGGAAUUACUGGGCGUAAAGGGCGCGUAGGCGGCCUACUAAGUCAGACGUGAAAUCCCCCGGCUUAACCUGGGAACUGCGUCUGAUACUGGAAGGCUUGAGGAUGGGAGAGGGAUGUAGAAUUCCAGGUGUAGCGGUGAAAUGCGUAGAUAUCUGGAGGAAUACCGGUGGCGAAGGCGGCAUCCUGGACCGGUAUUGACGCUGAGGCGCGAAAGCCAGGGGAGCAAACGGG